rnacentral:lncRNA from 1 species
GGCUAGGGGUUGAAUCGGAGCUGUAGCCACCGGCCUACACCAGAGCCACAGCAACAAGGGAUCUGAGCCGCGUCUUCAACCUACACCACAGCUCACGGCAACGCCAGGUUGUUAACCCACUGAGCAAGGGCAGGGAUCGAACCCGCAAACUCAAGGUUCCUGGUCGGAUUUGUUAACAACUGUGCCACGACGGGAACUCCCUUAAAAAAAUUUUAUUAUAGUUGAUUUACAAUGUUCUGUCAGUUUCUGUUGUACAGAAAGUGACACAGUUUUACAAAUACAUACAUUCUUUUUCUCACAUUAUCCUCCAUCAUGUUCAAUCACAAGUGAUUAAUAUAGUUCCCUGCGCUCUAAAGCAGGAUCUCAUUGCUUAUCUACUCCAAAUGCAAUGGUUUGCAUCUACUAACCCCAAACUCCCAGUCCAUCCCACUCCCUCCUCCUCCCCCUUGGCAACCAUAAGUCUGUUCUCCAAGUCCAUGAAUUUGUUUCUUUUCUGUGGAUAGAUUCAUUUGUGCCAUAUAUUAGAUUACAGAUAUAAAUGAUAUCAUAUGGUAUUUCUCUUUCUGAUUUCACUUAGUAUGAGAGUCUCUAGUUCCAUCCUUGUUGUUGCAAAAGGCAUUAUUUUGUUCUUUUUAAUGGCUGAGUAGUUUUUCCAUUGAGUACAUGUACUGCAUCUUCUUAAUCCAUUCACCUGUCUAUGGACAUUUAGGUUGUUUCCAUGUCUUGGCUGUUGUGAAUAGUGCUGCUAUGAACAUAGGGGUGCAUGUAUCUUUUUGAAUGAAAGUUUUGUCUGGAUGUAUGUCCAGGAGUGUGAUUGCUGAAUUAUAUGGUAGUUCUAUAUUUAGUUUUCUGAGAUUCCUCCAUACUGUUUCUGUAGUGGUUGUACCAAUUUACAUUCUCACCAACAGUGUAGGAGGGUUCUCUUUUCUCCACACCUUCUCCAGGAUUUGUUAUUUGUAGACUUAUUAAUGGCCAUUCUGACAGAAUGAGGUGGACCUCAUUGCAGUUUUUUUUUUCUUUUUAGGACCACAUCCACAGCAUAUGGAGUUUCCCAGGCUCGGGGUCCAAUUGGAGUGGCAGCUUCUGGCCUAUGCCAUAGCCACAGCAAUACAAGAUCCGAGCGACCUACACCACAGCUCACAGCAACGCCAGAUCCUUAACCCGGUGAUCGAGACCAGGGAUUGAACCCACAUCCUCAUGGAUCAUAGUCAGGUUUGUUACCCACUGAGCCACGAAGGGAACUCCCCUCAUUGCAGUUGUGAUUUGCAUUUCUCUAAUUAUUAGUGAUGCUGAGCAUUUUUUUCAUGUGCCUGUUGACCAUCUGUAUGUCUUCUUUGGAGAAAUGUCUGUUCAGGUCUUCUGCCUAUUUUUCAAUUGGGUUGUUGUUUUUUCUGCUGUCAAGUUGUAUAAAUUGUUUGUAUAUUUUAUCAAUUAAGCCCUUGUCAGUUGCAUCAUUUGAAACUAUUUUCUCCCACUUUGCAGACUGUCUUUUUUUUAUGAUUUCCUUUGCUGUGCAAAAGUUUGCCAUUUUGAUUAGGUCUCAUUGGCUUAUUUUUGUUAUUAUUUCUGCUGGCUUGGGAGACUGACCUAAGAAAACAUAUGUAAGGUUGAUGUCAGAGAAUGUUUUGCCUAUGUUCUCUUAUAGGAGUUUGAUGUUGUCAUGUUUAUUUCUUUAAGUUAUUUUGAGUUUAUUUUUGUGCAUGGUGAGAGGGUGUGUUCUAGUUUCAUUGAUUUACAUGUCUAGUUUUGCUAACACCACUGGCUAAAGAGACUGUCUUUUUCCCAUUUUAUGUUCUUGCCUCCUUUGUCAAAGAUUAAUUGACCAUGGUGUCUGGGUUUAUUUCUGGGUUCUGUUCCAUUGGUCUGUAUGUCUGUUUUGGUACCAGUACCACACUGUCUUGAUUACUGUAGUUUUGUAAUAUUGUGUGAAGUCUGGGAUACAAGAUUAACAUUGAGAAAUCUGUUGCAUUUCUGUAUACCAACAGCAAAAUAUUAGAAAAAUAAUAUAAAAAUACAAUAGCUUUUAAAAUCACACCCCAAAUAUUAAAUACCUAGGAAUAAACCUGACCAAGGGGGUGAAAGACUUUUAUGCUGAGAACCGUUAAACAUUAAUCAAGGAAAUUAAAGAGGAUUCAAAGAAAUGGAAAAAUAUUCCAUGCUCCUGGACGGGAGGAAUUAAUAUUGUUAAAAUGGCCAUACUACUUGAGGCAAUCUACAGAUUCAAUAAAAUCCCUGUCAAAUUACCCAUGACAUUUUUCAUAGAACUAUAACAAACAAUUCAAAAAUUUAUAUGGAAGACUUCCCAUUGUGGUACAGUGGAAAAGCAUCUGACUAGUAUCCGAGGAUGCAGGUUCAAUCCCUGUCCUUGCUUAGUGGGUCGGGGAUCUGGCAUUGCCAGGAGCUGUGUGUAGGCCACAGAUGGGGCUCAGAUCUCGUGUUGCUGUUGCUGUGGCGUAAGCUGGCAGCUGCAGCUCUGAUUCGACCCCUAGCUUGGGAACUUCCAUAUGCCGUGGGUGCAGCCCUAAAAAGCAAAAACAAACAGACAAAAACCCCCAACAAUUUAUAUGGAACCACAAAAGACCCAGAAUUGCCAAAGCAAUCCUGAAGAAAAAAACCAAGCAGAAGGCGUCAUCUAAUUUUAGAACAUUUUUAUUGCUCCAAAGAGAAAUCUCCCAUCCAUUAGCCAUCAGCCCAUCCAUUCCCAUCACUCCCCUUCUCUCCUCCCUCCAGUCCCUAGCAACCAUUGAUCUAUGAUGGAUUUGCCUAUUCUGGACAUUUCAUAUGCAUACAGAAUGAUGCAGCGUGUGGUCUUUUGUGUCUGGCUUCUUUCACUUAGCAUGUUUUCAAGGUUUCUCUGUGUGGGGCAUGUAUCAGUCCCAUUUUAUGGCCAAUAAUAUUCCGCUAUAAGAAUGGACACAUGGCAUUUUGUUUGUCAUUCACCAGCUGAUGGAUAUGUGAGUUGUUUCUACUUUUAGGCUCUCAUAAAUAAUGCUGUUAUGAUAUGCAUGUACAAAUUUUUGUGUAAACCUAUCUUUCAGUUCUUUUGGUUGUACACCUAGGAGUGGAAUUGCUGGAUCACAUGUAACACUGUUUAAUAUUUUGUUCAACUGCCAGAAUGUUUUCUAAGUGGCUGCACCAUUUUACGUUCCAACUUGUAAUAUAUGAGAGUUCCAAUUGCUCCACGUUGUGGACAGUACUUGUUUUUGUCAUUUAUAGUAGUAAUCCUAAAGUGUGUACAUUUUUGUCUUAAUUUUAUUGCAAAACUAGUGAUGUUAAGCAUUUUUUUUUUCAUGUGCUUACUGGCCAUUUAUGUAUUUUAUUUAUUUAUUUAUUUAUUUUGCUUUUUAGGGCCACACCUGCGGCAUAUGGAGGUUCCCAGGCUAGGGGGGUCAAAUCAGAGCUGUAGCUGCCGGCCUACACCACAGCUGCAGCAACACCAAAUCCAAGCAGCAUCUGCAACUUGCACCAUAGCUCAUGGCAAUGCCAGAUCCUUAACCCACUGAGCAAGGCCAAGGAUCGAACCUGCAACCUCAUGGUUCCUAGUCAGAUUCAUUUCCCUUGCGCCACGAUGGGAACUCCUAGACAAUUUAAUAUUUAGGGGAAAAAAAAAAAAAACCCAGAGUGAUAUUGGCAAAAGAACAGAAAAUUACGUCAAUGGGGACAGAACACAGAGCCCAGAAAUAUGCUUCCACAUAAACAUUCAGCUGAUCUCCGACAAGGGGGCAAAGGCAAUUUAAUUAAGAAUAGUCUUUUCAAUAAAUAGUGCUGAACAAUUGGAUAUCCAUGCCCCCCCCCCCAAAAAACAAAUAAAAACCGAAACGUUUACAUGGCUCUUACAACUUUCACAAAAAUUAUCUCAAACUGGAUCAUUAAAGCCUAAAUGUAAAACACAAAACCAUGAAACUACUAUAACAAAACACAGGAGAAAAUCUAGAACUCUUAAAACUCAAUCAGAAAACAAACAAAUUAAAUAAAAUAUGGGCAAAGAUCUGAACAAAUACCUCAUCAAAACCAUAUAAAGGACUUCCUGUUGUGGCUCAGUGGUAACGAACCCUACCAGUAUCCAUGAGGAUGUGGGUCUGAUCCCUGGCCUCACUCAGUGGGCCAAGGAUCUGGUGUUGCUGUGGCUGUGGCGUAGGCCAGUAGCUGCAGCUCUGAUUUGACCCCUAGCCUGGGAACUUUCAUAUGUCGUGGGUGCAGCCCUAAAAAGCAACCCCCCUAAAAAAACAAAGCCCAAAAAACAAAACAGAAAAACAUAUGAAGAAGUUCCCUUGUGGCACAGUUAACGAUCCGGUGUUGUAACUGCUGUGGCUCCAGUUGCUGGUGUGGUGUGGAUUCGAUUCUUGGCCCAGGAACUUGCACAUGCCGUA